rnacentral:rRNA from 1 species
UACGUAGGGCGCAAGCGUUAUCCGGAAUUAUUGGGCGUAAAGAGCUCGUAGGCGGUUUGUCGCGUCUGCCGUGAAAGUCCGGGGCUCAACUCCGGAUCUGCGGUGGGUACGGGGCAGACUAGAGUGAUGUAGGGGAGACUGGAAUUCCUGGUGUAGCGGUGAAAUGCGCAGAUAUCAGGAGGAACACCGAUGGCGAAGGCAGGUCUCUGGGCAUUAACUGACGCUGAGGUGCGAAAGCGUGGGGAGCAAACAGG